rnacentral:rRNA from 1 species
GAUGAACGCUGGCGGCGCGCCUAACACAUGCAAGUCGAACGGCACCCCUCCUCGGAGGGAAGCGCGUGGCGAACGGCUGAGUAACACGUGGAGAACCUGCCCCCUCCCCCGGGAUAGCCGCCCGAAAGGACGGGUAAUACCGGAUACCCCGGGGUGCCGCAUGGCACCCCGGCUAAAGCCCCGACGGGGAGGGAUGGCUUCGCGGCCCAUCAGGUAGACGGCGGGGUGACGGCCCACCGUGCCGACAACGGGUAGCCGGGUUGAGAGACCGACCGGCCAGGUUGGGACUGAGACACGGGCCAGACUCCUACGGGAGGCGGCAGUGGGGAAUCUUGCGCAAUGGGGGGAACCCUGACGCAGCGACGCCGCGUGCGGGACGGAGGCCUUCGGGUCGUAAACCGCUUUCAGCAGGGAAGAGUCAAGACUGUACCUGCAGAAGAAGCCCCGGCUAACUACGUG